rnacentral:rRNA from 1 species
CAGCAGCCGCGGUAAUACGUAGGGGGCGAGCGUUGUCCGGAAUUACUGGGCGUAAAGGGCGUGUAGGCGGCCUGUUAAGUCAGGGGUGAAAGACCGGGGCUCAACCCCGGGGGUGCCUCUGAAACUGGCGGGCUUGAGUGCUCUAGAGGGCAGUGGAAUUCCCGGUGUAGCAGUGAAAUGCGUAGAGAUCGGGAGGAACACCAGUGGCGAAGGCGGCUGCCUGGGGAGUCACUGACGCUGAGGCGCGAAAGCUAGGGGAGCAAACAGGAUUAGAUACCCUGGUAGUCAUAGCCGUAAACGAUGAGCGCUAUGUGUGAGGGGUAUCGACCCCCCUCGUGCAGUAGCUAACGCAUUAAGCGCUCCGCCUGGGGAGUACGGCCGCAAGGUUGAAACUUAAAGGAAUUGGCGGG